ACUCCUACGGGAGGCAGCAGUGGGGAAUAUUGCACAAUGGGCGCAAGCCUGAUGCAGCCAUGCCGCGUGUGUGAAGAAGGCCUUCGGGUUGUAAAGCACUUUCAGUCGUGAGGAAGGUAGUGUAGUUAAUAGCUGCAUUAUUUGACGUUAGCGACAGAAGAAGCACCGGCUAACUCCGUGCCAGCAGCCGCGGUAAUACGGAGGGUGCAAGCGUUAAUCGGAAUUACUGGGCGUAAAGCGUGCGCAGGCGGUCUGUUAAGCGAGAUGUGAAAGCCCCGGCUCAAGCCUGGAACUGCAUUUCGAACUGGCAGUACUAGAGUC
rnacentral:rRNA from 1 species